GAUGAACGCUAGCGGCAGGCUUAAUACAUGCAGGUCGAGGGGCAGCAGGACUGUAGCAAUACAGUUGCUGGCGACCGGCAAACGGGUGCGGAACACGUACGCAACCUACCCAAAACUGGGGGAUAGCCCGGGGAAACCCGGAUUAAUACCUCGUAACCUUUUUAAGUGGCAUCACUUGAUAAGUAUAGCUCCGGCGGUUUUGGAUGGGCGUGCGCCUGAUUAGGUAGUUGGUGCGGGUAACGGCCCACCAAGCCUGCGAUCAGUAACUGGUGUGAGAGCACGACCAGUCACACGGGCACUGAGACACGGGCCCGACUCCUACGGGAGGCAGCAGUAAGGAAUAUUGGUCAAUGGACGCAAGUCUGAACCAGCCAUGCCGCGUGAAGGAUGAAGGUCCUCUGGAUUGUAAACUUCUUUUAUGGGGGACGAAACCCGGAUAUUCUUAUCCGAUUGACGGUACCUCAGGAAUAAGCACCGGCUAACUCCGUG
rnacentral:rRNA from 1 species